GUGACCAUGGCGGUGUAGGUGGAAGCAGCUGUGGAGGAAGAGGAUGAGGUGUCCAACACUGUUUUAUAUAUACAUAUAUAUAUAUAUAUAUAUUUUUUUUUUUUUAUUGGGGUAGCCCCCAAAAUAUUGGGACAUUUGAAAAAAGACAACACUGUUACGCAGAGUAGCUGUUGACAUUAUAGUUCUGCAGGCAGUUUGUUGACUCUAGAGAACCUCAGGCCAAUCGCACAUCCCCGUGAUGGCGACUUUGCAUGCGGAUGUCAUCUAUAUCAACUUUCGAUGCCAGUUUCUGCGCCUGCCAUGGUGACCACGGGUAACAGGGAAUCAGGGUUCCAUUCCGUACAGGGACCCUGAGAAAUGGCUACCACAUGCAAGGAAGGCAGCAGGCGCGUAAAUGACCCACUCCCAACGCGGGAAGGUAGUGACAACAAAUAACAAUACAGGACUCUUUAGAGGCUCAAAAUUAAAAAAAAAAUGACUUUUAAAAACUCUAAUGUAAGCAGCAGAU